ensembl:lncRNA
AGGUAGUCUAGUGGUUAGAGGAGGCAGGUAGUCUAGUGGUUAGAGGGGGGUGACAGGUAGUCUAGUGGUUAGAGGGGGGUGACAGGUAGUCUAGUGGUUAGAGGAGGCAGGUAGUCUAGUGGUUAGUUAGAGGGUUAGAGGGCAGGUAGCCUAGGGGUUAGAGGGGGGUGACAGGUAGCCUAGUGGUUAGAGGGGGGUGACAGGUAGCCUAGUGGUUAGAGGGGGGUGACAGGUAGCCUAGUGGUUAGAGGGGGGUGACAGGUAGCCUAGUGGUUAGAGCGUUGGACUAGUAACCGAAAGGUUUCUAGUUCAAAUCCCCGAGCUGACGAGGUAAAAUCUGUCGUUCUUCCCCUGAACAAGGCAGUUAACCCACUGUUCCUAGACCAGUUAACCCACUGUUCCUAGACCAGUUAACCCACUGUUCCUAG